ACUCCUACGGGAGGCAGCAGUGGGAAUAUUGCACAAUGGGGGAAACUUUGAUGCAGCGACGCCGCGUGAGGGGAAGAAGUUCUUCGGUUGAAACCUCUUCCGCAGGGAAGAUAAUGACGGUACCU
rnacentral:rRNA from 1 species